rfam:Dictyocaulus viviparus strain HannoverDv2000 D_viviparus-1.0_Cont91.16, whole genome shotgun sequence.
GGCCGGAUAGUCUAGGGGUAUGAUUCUCGCUUUGGGUGCGAGAGGUCCCGUGUUCGAAUCUCGGUUCGGCCC